GCGUUCAUAGCUCAGUUGGUUCGAGCACCACCUUGACAUGGUGGGGGUCGUUGGUUCGAGUCCAAUUGAACGCACCA
rnacentral:tRNA from 1 species